UGCAGAGACGUGAUAACGUUCUCCUCUGAAGUGGGCUGCAUUCUGAUUUCUGAUUUCUGAUUUCUGAUUUCUGAGUAGUAGCCCACGACCCAAACACAAAUAACAUCAAGUUUGGGCCAUGAAGCCUAUCCCACCAUUGAUAUCCAAAGCUGACAUCUUCCAAUUUCUGAAAAGGUAGAAAAAGCAUGCUGCCACUCACAAUUCCUUUGAGUCUAGCAACAGAGAGCAUCUGAGAAGUCCUGAGGCCUUGGAAGAUUUCUUCUGUGGGAGUUUUUCUUGGCUGCAUGUCGUAAACAAAUGUAGAGGACAUUGUAAGUUGGUGAGAAACGAUUUCUUUUUGGGUGAUUUGGUAUUACCUUUGUUGUAGAGCUUGCUGGUGCGUGUCUUGAACUGGUCAAAUUGCACAAUCUGGAUAUCUAGAGAGAAAGGGCUUGCACCAGUCAAAAAGAAGGACUCAUUAAGCUGCCUAAUUGUUGAUCCUCCUGUGGCAAAAUUUGCACCAUGCCUGAAACUUGCUCCAAUGGAAUCUAGAUAGGCACUCAAGUAUGGCAAUCUAAGGCGCUUGGC